rnacentral:tRNA from 1 species
GAGGGUAUAGCAGUGGUAGAGUAUAUGCUUUGCAUGCAUAAGAUUCUGGGUUUAAUCCUCAGUACCUCCA